AUUUUGUAUAUGUGGUUGCUGUGUUUUCUAGAGAUAAUACUGAUAGACAGUGUUGGAUCAGACUCUGAAAAUGAGAAAGAAAUCAUGCUUCACCUUCAAAUUAAGCAGGAUCUCCUGCUCAAUGGUGUCCAGGUUUUCUGGGGCCGAUGCUUGAGGUGGUGGGUCCACCACCUGUGCAGUUGAGUUCCACACCUGGGGCAGUUGGGGCACCAGCAGCAGCUGGUGGGUCCUUCACUUUACCUAAUUUUGUGACCAUGGGGAUGGAUGGUGAUGUCAACUCCCACUCAAGUGACCUCACGGCCUUGGACCUCUGAGAAACUUGUGUGUCUCGACAUAUUUGCACACCUUCUGGCAGAGUGGGCUUGCAAGAAAUGGAAGGCUCUAGUGAUAGUGGGAUUGAAAGCCACAGCACUGGAACUACCAUACCAAUUUCCAGAACUGACAGCGAUGAGCUUACCUCAUCUGAUUCUCUUCCUCCUCCACCACCUCCACCACUUCCUCCACCUAUUCCACCAGUUCCUCCUCCUCUUCCUCCUACACCACCCUCUCCUCUUCUUCAUGAUGAAGAUUAUUUUGCUGAUGAUGAAGAGGAC
ensembl:lncRNA